UUGAAAGAUAGCCGCGUCGCUUUUGUGCAUGUUAAAAUAAAAUUCAGAACUGUUACGAAGAAACUGUUUGUGUUUGCUGAUAACCUCUGUAUUUGAAGCUGCAUUACUUAUUUGAAGAACGUCAGCUGUUGUUCUGUACUGGUUGUUCGAGAUUCGUCGUAAAUUCUUCGCCUUUGUAACCUGUUACGAUGAACGCUUCGAGUGUGGCAGCUGCCGGAAGUGGAUGCGAGCAGGAAUGUUACUGCAGAAGCCUGGCUGUUGAAAAUAACAGGAA